AAACUAACAAGGAUUCCCCUAGUAGCGGCGAGCGAAGCGGGAAGAGCUCAAAUUUAUAAUCUGGCACCUUCGGUGUCCGAGUUGUAAUCUCUAGAAGUGUUUUCCGCGUUGGACCGCACACAAGUCUGUUGGAAUACAGCGGCAUAGUGGUGAGACCCCCGUAUAUGGUGCGGACGCCCAACGCUUUGUGAUACACUUUCGAAGAGUCGAGUUGUUUGGGAAUGCAGCUCAAAUUGGGUGGUAAAUUCCAUCUAAAGCUAAAUAUUGGCGAGAGACCGAUAGCGAACAAGUACCGUGAGGGAAAGAUGAAAAGCACUUUGGAAAGAGAGUUAACAGUACGUGAAAUUGUUGGAAGGGAAACGCUUGAAGUCAGACUUGCUUGCCGAGCAAUCGGUUUGCAGGCCAGCAUCAGUUUUCCGGGGUGGAUAAUGGUAGAGAGAAGGUAGCAGUUUCGGCUGUGUUAUAGCUCUCUGCUGGAUACACCUUGGGGGACUGAGGAACGCAGUGUGCCUUACGGCGGAUUUCUCGAGAUCUUCACACUUAGGAUGCUGGUGGAAUGGCUUUAAACGACCCGUCUUG
rnacentral:rRNA from 1 species